AUAUGUGUUGAAAAGGUUCAAGUUUGGGGUUGAAUGGGGAAAGUGAAAGGCAAAAGAAAAAGGAAAGCAUUGAGUUCAAAAUAUGAAAAAGAAAAAUGCAUGUGAAAGGAAAAGAAAAGAAGAAAAGAGAAAAAACAUGUAAAGAAGAACUCAAUGUAAAAUGAAAAAGGGAAAAAUUUGGGAAUGAGUGAGAUUGGUUAAAAAGAGAGUGUACUUGAACUUUGAAUGAUGAUUUAAACUCUCUUAACUCAAGGAUUUUGUAUUCCAGAAAAACCAAUUUUCUUGAUAGCUCAGCCACAAUACAAG
rnacentral:lncRNA from 1 species